UACGUAGGGGGCUAGCGUUGUCCGGAUUUAUUGGGCGUAAAGAGCGUGUAGGCGGCCAGGUAGGUCUGCUGUGAAAACUCGAGGCUCAACCUCGAGAUGUCGGCGGAAACCAUCUGGCUAGAGUCCGGAAGAGGAAAGUGGAAUUCCUGGUGUAGCGGUGAAAUGCGCAGAUAUCAGGAAGAACACCCGCGGCGAAGGCGGUUCUCUGGGACGGUACUGACGCUGAGACGCGAAAGCGUGGGGAGCGAACAGG
rnacentral:rRNA from 1 species